rnacentral:rRNA from 1 species
GACGAACGCUGGCGGCGUGCUUAACACAUGCAAGUCGAACGGAAAGGCCCUGCUUUUGUGGGGUUCUCGAGUGGCGAACGGGUGAGUAACACGUGAGUAACCUGCCCUUGACUUUGGGAUAACUUCAGGAAACUGGGGCUAAUACCGGAUAGGAGCUCCUGCUGCAUGGUGGGGGUUGGAAAGUUUCGGCGGUUGGGGAUGGACUCGCGGCUUAUCAGCUUGUUGGUGGGGUAGUGGCUUACCAAGGCUUUGACGGGUAGCCGGCCUGAGAGGGUGACCGGCCACAUUGGGACUGCGAUACGGCCCAGACUCCAACGGGAGGCAGCAGUGGGGAAUAUUGCACAAUGGGCGGAAGCCUGAUGCAGAAACGCCGCGUGCGGGAUGACGGCCUUCGGGUUGUAAACCGCUUUCGCCUGUGACGAAGCGUGAGUGACGGUAAUGGGUAAAGAAGCACCGGCUAACUACGUG